UCUACACAGAUUUCUGAAAAGCGUUUUUUGGUGGCAGAGGAGCUGGGGAGCCAUCAGCUGCAGCGGCUGGUGGAUCUGCUGACGGUGCACGAGUGUGAGGAGCUCUUCCUGGCCCUAACCAAUCCCGAGGAGAAGGUUUUUAAACAGCUGCAGCGCCUGUCUGCAGAGAAGAACCCGCUGAGACCACACCCCCGCACACCACGAGACAUAGAUAAGGAAACCCACUGCCAUCCAGCUCUAACAGACUGGCUCCGGAUUCAUGGAGAGCAGACGUAUUACGACAGACUGUCUCUUGCUCUUCAACAGAUCGGAAGGACUGACAUUGCCAUAGAGGUGGGUAAGAAUCUUAACCAGGACAAGACGCUGGGGCUGCAGCGCUAUGUGGAGGAAUACCAUGAGCAGGUCAAUAAAAUGACAUCACAGUUCAUCCUGCCCCAAUCAGAGGAGGACCAUCAUGAAGAAACACCAGAUGUUUCUGCAAGACAAGUGAGGAGCUUGUCUUGGAAAGAUUUGGACUUGGUUGUGGAGAGGCAGCUGGUGCCACCCUAUCAGCGUCAGUUUCUGGACGGGGCGUGGCCUCUUCUCUACGGCCUUAUCUUUGGAUUCGUUGCAGCUUUAGGGGUUGGUUUGCCUGUAAUGCUCUUUACCAUGCGGAUAUGCCUUGGGUCCCAAACCAAAACCCAGCAUUAGGGACACCAUACACACCAUCACUCCUUUGAGAUUUUGAUGACUUGUUAGACUUGUUUGUUUUAAGCUAAACAACUGUGAUUUUUCAGACUAGGUUUAAUAUUAAACAAUGAUCUGCCUUAAUUGAUGUCUUUUAUUUAAUUUUAUUUUUUUUCUUACCUGUAUAUACUAUUCUAGAGUUUUAGUCACAUGAUUUUUUGGGUACCACUUUAAAAGUGUCUUUUCU
rnacentral:lncRNA from 1 species